rnacentral:lncRNA from 1 species
UCCAAAACAAGUAUUAAAGAAUGUCCUAAACAAGAGAAAUUCUACACUAUCACACUUGCACCACGUCAUCAAUAACAAAUCAAUCACAUUCCUUUUUUUCAAACAAAAGUACAAUAAAAAUAUUUUUUUAUAAUUAUGAUGGGACAUAUACUUCAAAAAAAAAAUAUUUGAUUGGUUUGUUACGCCACGUCACUAGUAUAUCUGUCACAUUCUAGAAUUUUUCCCAAAAGAGACUUACUAACUCCAAAACUAAAGCAAUGAUCCAUCCAAUGCUUAUAA